CCCUGAAGGCGACAAGAUCUAUGUCGUGACGGUUCUGCUGUCCUACUGCUUGGGGUCCUUCGGCGCCGAUCGGUUCUACCUGGGCAAGACGCGGUCGGCCUUCGUGAAGCUGUUCACCUUGGGCGAUGAAGGACGUAGCAAUCUGCGAUAAGCCUCGGGGAGUGGAUAAGCACACUUUGAUCCGAGGGUCUCCGAAUGGGGAAACCCCGCCGGGCGGCGUGCCGACCCGGUGACUCCCGCCUGAAUAUAUAGGGCGGGUAGAGGGAACGUGGGGAAGUGAAACAUCUCAGUACCCACAGGAAGAGAAAGCAACCGCGAUUCCGUUAGUAGUGGCGAGCGAAACCGGAACAGGCUAAACCGAGUACGUGUGAUAUCCGGCAGGAGUUGCGUAUUCGGGGUUGUGGGACUUUUCAGGCUGCUCUGCCGAGCAGCCGGCGUUACAAGAAGGUAUAGACGAACUGGAUUGAAAGCCAGGUCAUAGAGGGUGCCAACCCCGUAGUCGAAAUGCCUCCCUUGACGCGAAGAGUAUCCCAAGUAGCACGGGGCCCGAGAAAUCCCGUGUGAAUCUGUCAGGACCACCUGAUAAGCCUAAAUACUCCCAGAUGACCGAUAGCGGACAAGUACCGUGAGGGAAAGGUGAAAAGUACCCCGGGAGGGGAGUGAAAUAGUACCUGAAACCGUUUGCUUACAAACCGUUGGAGCAGCCCUAGCAGCUGUGACAGCGUGCCUUUUGAAGAAUGAGCCUGCGAGUUAGCGAUACGUGGCGAGGUUAACCCGUGAGGGGUAGCCGUAGCGAAAGCGAGUCUGAAUAGGGCGAUUCAGUCGCGUGUCCUAGACCCGAAGCGAAGUGAUCUAUCCUUGGCCAGGUUGAAGCGACGGUAAGACGUCGUGGAGGACCGAACCCACUUAGGUUGAAAACUGAGGGGAUGAGCUGUGGAUAGGGGUGAAAGGCCAAUCAAACUUCGUGAUAGCUGGUUCUCUCCGAAAUGCAUUUAGGUGCAGCGUUGCGUGUUUCUUGCCGGAGGUAGAGCUACUGGAUGGCCGAUGGGCCCUACAAGGUUACUGACGUCAGCCAAACUCCGAAUGCCGGUAAGUGAGAGCGCAGCAGUGAGACUGUGGGGGAUAAGCUUCAUAGUCGAGAGGGAAACAACCCAGACCACCAACUAAGGUCCCAAAGCGCGUGCUAAGUGGGAAAGGAUGUGGAGUUGCCUUGACAACCAGGAGGUUGGCUUAGAAGCAGCCACCCUUGAAAGAGUGCGUAAUAGCUCACUGGUCAAGUGAUUCCGCGCCGACAAUGUAACGGGGCUCAAGCACGCCACCGAAGUUGUGGCAUUGACAUUAUUGGUAGGCCUUCGUGGUCCAGCCGUGUUGAUGGGUAGGAGAGCGUCGUGUGGCCAGCGAAGCGGCGGUGUGAACCAGCCGUGGAGGCUACACGAGUGAGAAUGCAGGCAUGAGUAGCGAAAGACAUGUGAGAAACAUGUCCUCCGAAAGACCAAGGGUUCCAGGGUCAAGCUAAUCUUCCCUGGGUAAGUCGGGACCUAAGGCGAGGCCGACAGGCGUAGUCGAUGGACAACGGGUUGAUAUUCCCGUACCGGCGAAGAACCGCCCAAGCUAAUCCAGUAGUGCUAAGUGUCUGAAUCCCACUGACGGAUCCCUUCGGGGUGAAGCGUUGGGCCUAGCGCACGACCCCAUUCUGGUGCGGUUAGCGUAUUAACAGGCGUGACGCAGGAAGGUAGCCCAACCCGGGCGAUGGUUGUCCCGGGGCAAGUGCGUAGGCCGAGAGAUAGGCAAAUCCGUCUCUCACAUAGGCUGAGACACGAUGCGGAUAAAAAGUGGGUGAUCCUAUGCUGCCAAGAAAAGCAUCGACGCGAGGUUCUAGCCGCCCGUACCCCAAACCGACUCAGGUGGUCAGGUAGAGAAUACCAAGGAGAUCGAGAGAAUCGUGGUUAAGGAACUCGGCAAAAUGCCCCCGUAACUUCGGGAGAAGGGGGGCCUUCGGCGUAUUAGGACUUGCUCCGAAAGCGUUUGGAGGCCGCAGAGACUAGUGGGUAGCGACUGUUUAUUAAAAACACAGGUCCGUGCCAAGUCGCAAGACGAUGUAUACGGACUGACGCCUGCCCGGUGCUGGAAGGUUAAGAGGACCGGUUAGCCGCAAGGCGAAGCUGAGAAUUUAAGCCCCAGUAAACGGCGGUGGUAACUAUAACCAUCCUAAGGUAGCGAAAUUCCUUGUCGGGUAAGUUCCGACCUGCACGAAUGGCGUAACGACUUCCCAACUGUCUCAACCGCGAACUCGGCGAAAUUGCACUACGAGUAAAGAUGCUCGUUACGCGCAGCAGGACGGAAAGACCCCGUGACCUUUACUACAGCUUGGUAUUGGUGUUCGGUGUGGCUUGUGUAGGAUAGGUGGGAGACUUUGAAGCGGUGACGCCAGUUACCGUGGAGUCGUUGUUGAAAUACCACUCUGGUCACUCUGGAUAUCUAACUUCGAACCGUAAUCCGGUUCAGGGACAGUGCCUGGUGGGUAGUUUAACUGGGGCGGUUGCCUCCCAAAAAGUAACGGAGGCGCCCAAAGGUUCCCUCAACCUGGUUGGCAAUCAGGUGUCGAGUGUAAGUGCACAAGGGAGCUUGACUGUGAGACUGACAGGUCGAGCAGGGACGAAAGUCGGGACUAGUGAUCCGGCAGUGGCUUGUGGAAGCGCUGUCGCUCAACGGAUAAAAGGUACCUCGGGGAUAACAGGCUGAUCUUGCCCAAGAGUCCAUAUCGACGGCAUGGUUUGGCACCUCGAUGUCGGCUCGUCGCAUCCUGGGGCUGGAGUAGGUCCCAAGGGUUGGGCUGUUCGCCCAUUAAAGCGGUACGCGAGCUGGGUUUAGAACGUCGUGAGACAGUUCGGUCCCUAUCCGCUGCGCGCGUAGGAAAUUUGAGAGGAUCUGACCCUAGUACGAGAGGACCGGGUUGGACGAACCUCUGGUGUGCCAGUUGUUCUGCCAAGAGCACCGCUGGUUAGCUACGUUCGGGAUGGAUAACCGCUGAAAGCAUCUAAG
rnacentral:rRNA from 1 species